AUUGAACGCUGGCGGCAGGCCUAACACAUGCAAGUCGAACGAGUGGCGGACGGGUGAGUAAUGUCUGGGAAACUGCCCGAUGGAGGGGGAUAACUACUGGAAACGGUAGCUAAUACCGCAUACCAUCGGAUGUGCCCAGAUGGGAUUAGCUUGUAGGUGGGGUAACGGCUCACCUAGGCGACGAUCCCUAGCUGGUCGGAGAGGAUGACCAGCCACCUUGGACAGGAGACAGGGUCCAGACUCCUACGGGAGGAAGAAGUGGGGAAUAGUGCACAAUGGGCGCAAGCCGGAUGCACUCAGGCCGGUGGUAUGAAGAAGGCCUUCGGUUUGUAAAGUACUUUCAGCGGGGAGGCGUUACCCGCAGAAGAAGCACCGGCUAACUCCGUGCCAGCAGCCGCGGUAAUAC
rnacentral:rRNA from 1 species